GCAUGGUCUGAUGAUGAAAGGCGCUUCGGCGUCACCUUGGGAUGGCCNUGCGGUGCAUUAGCUAGUUGGUGGGGUAACGGCUCACCAAGGCGACGAUGCAUAGCCGACCUGAGAGGGUGAUCGGCCACACUGGGACUGAGACACGGCCCAGACUCCUACGGGAGGCAGCAGUAGGGAAUCUUCCACAAUGGACGAAAGUCUGAUGGAGCAACGCCGCNGUGAGUGAUGAAGGUUUUCGGAUCGUAAAACUCUGUUGUAAGGGAAGAACAAGUACGAGAGGUAAUGCUCGUACCUUGACGGUACCUUGCGAGAAAGCCACGGCUAACUACGUGCCAGCAGCCGCGGUAAUACGUAGGUGGCAAGCGUUGUCCGGAAUUAUUGGGCGUAAAGCGCGCGCAGGCGGCCUUUUAAGUCUGAUGUGAAAGCCCCCGGCUCAACCGGGGAGGGUCAUUGGAAACUGGAAGGCUUGAGUACAGAAGAGAAGAGUGGAAUUCCAUGUGUAGCGGUGAAAUGCGUAGAGAUGUGGAGGAACACCAGUGGCGAAGGCGACUCUUUGGUCUGUAACUGACGCUGAGGCGCGAAAGCGUGGGGAGCAAACAGGAUUAGAUACCCUGGUAGUCCACGCCGUAAACGAUGAGUGCUAGGUGUUGGGGGGUUUCCGCCCCUCAGUGCUGAAGCUAACGCAUUAAGCACUCCGCCUG
rnacentral:rRNA from 1 species